rnacentral:rRNA from 1 species
UACGUAGGGGGCUAGCGUUGUCCGGAAUCAUUGGGCGUAAAGCGCGCGUAGGCGGCCCGGUAAGUCCGCUGUGAAAGUCCAGGGCUCAACCCUGGAAAGCCGGUGGAUACUGCCGGGCUAGAGUCCGGAAGAGGCGAGUGGAAUUCCUGGUGUAGCGGUGGAAUGCGCAGAUAUCAGGAGGAACACCGAUGGCGAAGGCAGCUCGCUGGGACGGUACUGACGCUGAGGCGCGAAAGCUAGGGGAGCAAACAGG